rnacentral:rRNA from 1 species
GGGGAAUAUUGCACAAUGGGGGAAACCCUGAUGCAGCGACGCCGCGUGAGUGAAGAAGUAUUUCGGUAUGUAAAGCUCUAUCAGCAGGGACGAAAGGGAGGCAACUCCUGUGACGGUACCUGACUAAGAAGCCCCGGCUAACUACGUGCCAGCAGCCGCGGUAAUACGUAGGGGGCAAGCGUUAUCCGGAUUUACUGGGUGUAAAGGGAGCGUAGACGGUGAUGUAAGUCAGAUGUGAAAGCCCGGGGCUCAACCCCGGGACUGCAUUUGAAACUAUGUUGCUGGAGUGCAGGAGAGGUAAGUGGAAUUCCUAGUGUAGCGGUGAAAUGCGUAGAUAUUAGGAGGAACACCAGUGGCGAAGGCGGCUUACUGGACUGUAACUGACGUUGAGGCUCGAAAGCGUGGGGAGCAAAC